rnacentral:rRNA from 1 species
UACGGGGGGGGCAAGCGUUGUUCGGAAUUACUGGGCGUAAAGGGCUCGUAGGCGGCCAACUAAGUCAGACGUGAAAUCCCUCGGCUUAACCGGGGAACUGCGUCUGAUACUGGAUGGCUUGAGUUCGGGAGAGGGAUGCGGAAUUCCAGGUGUAGCGGUGAAAUGCGUAGAUAUCUGGAGGAACACCGGUGGCGAAGGCGGCAUCCUGGACCGAGACUGACGCUGAGGGGCGAAAGCCAGGGGAGCAAACGGG